rnacentral:misc_RNA from 1 species
GUAGGUGAACCUGCGGAAGGAUCAUUAUUGAAAUAAAUCUGAUGAGUUGCUGCUGGUUCUCUAGGGAACAUGUGCACACUUGUCAUCUUUAUAUCUCCACCUGUGCACCUUUUGUAGACCUGGAUAUCUCUCUGAAUGCUAGUCAUUCAGGUUUGAGGCAUUGACUUUACGUCUCUCCUUACAUUUCCAGGCCUAUGUUUCCUCAUAUACCCAAUGUAUGUUAUAGAAUGUAAUCAAUGGGCUCUUUUGUGCCUAUAAACUUAUACAACUUUCAGCAACGGAUCUCUUGGCUCUC